rnacentral:misc_RNA from 1 species
GGGAAAUCUUUUUGGUUGACUAGUGAACAAUAAUGAGUAGCUUGUUCAGAGGCUCGCCGUACAGGCGGCGACAUGAACUGGAGGCUGUCGAAGAAAGAGGCUCUAACGGCUCCGACGAUCGGGAGGACGACGACGCGUUUAGUCCUUUUGAUAUAUCUAGCACAAAAAACGCUUCUGUUGAUCGUCUGCGCAGGUGGAGGAACGCUGCGCUUGUGCUUAAUGCUUCCCGUCGAUUUCGAUACACUUUGGACUUCAAAAAGGAAGAAGAAAAGCAGCAAACUCUACGGAAAAUAAGAGCACAUGCACAAGUCAUAAGAGUUGCAUAUCUUUUCAAAGUGGCUGGCGAAGGUGAACAAGCAUUCCAACCAAAACCUAGUGGUGAUUUCGGAAUCGGAAAAGAUGAACUUUGUACAAUGACGAGGGAUCACGACUUUGGUGCCUUGGAGCAAAUUGGGGGGGUAAAAGGGGUUUCAGAUCUUUUAAAAACA